UGUGGUAAACCUUAUCUGGGAGUGCAUCUUUAAUACUGGAGUGAAUGUAAUUUCAAACCGGUUUAACACAAACAUGUCACAGUAAUCAAUACCACCAAGAUGUCGGGGAUGUGUUAGACGAAUGAUUUUGUUUUAUGGAGCCUUGAAGGGCGACGAAUGGCACUAAAGUGUUGCCAAAUUGAUAACUCAAACACCCAUUGUUGAUGUGUGAUGCUGAUAAUACAGAGACAGCUAGAGUGACAGAGUUUGAUGAAUAAACUUAAAUUAAAAAACAUUGAUGUGUGAUGCUGAUAAUACAGAGACAGCUAGAGUGACAGAGUUUGAUGAAUAAACUUAAAUUAAAAAACAAGGUCGUCUUUCUCAUUAUUGCGGGGAAACCUCAAAGGGCAUCAGGAAAACCUUCAUCAACCUCUUUGUGCCCAGUGGCUUGUGCAACAGUGUUUCAGAAAUUAUCAUUAAAAUGGGGAUAAUGGAUGACUGGCCACACAUAUGGGGCUAUGGACAAGCUUCAGAGCAGGCUGCCAGGUGGUGGUGUUAGUAGUUUAUACUCCGGGUCCCGGCGUGAGCACAUUGAAGGGUCCCAGAGUGACAGUUCAACCACCGCACACCUAUCCUAAGCAGAACCAGUACUAGGUGCCUUCACCUCUGCAAGGAACUGACAACUUCUGUACAUGCCAGGGGCAGUGGUACAGUGCGAAUGGUCGUAGAAAGGAUUUCAUAACCAAUCUCAACAGAGGUGACCUGGUCCGCCCGGGAAUCGAACCCCGGUUGUCCAAUUCAGAGUCCAACGCUCUACCGAUUGAGCUAACCGGGCGGACACAUUAGCUACAUUAGAUGACAAGCCAUCUAUGCUGGACAUUCUUCACAAUAAAAUGUGAUGUCACAGGAGCUGUCUAUCUCAACAGCUCACACUGUCCGUAUUUGACUAAAUGAAUGAAUGAAGACACUGCAGAAGUUGGAUUGAGGAAUGUCCAUGUCACUACCCAUCAUUUGGAAGGAGUUGGAUAAAAAAAGUGUGGCCUAUGUAUUGAAACUGGUCCGACAUUCCAGUUACGGACAGUCUUGAUUUGUUUGAUUACAUUUCUGACCAACAUGAUGGUCUAAAAGAACACUUACUGGUAACUGGUAAAAUCAUGGCCCAGUUGUUCCAAGAGGCAGGCGAGUGGGAAGUUACUAGACUCCAUUUCUUUAUGGGUUGAUUUGAGGUUCCAGUUCAGUUAAAGUACUGAUGGAACACCAAGUGUUUGCCAUAAUACAGCAACAUUUGAUUUUUUAACUAUGUAUUUGUUUGAAUUGUUGAAACAGUACUGUUUACUAAAUAAUGUAUAUAUAUAUAUGAAGAAUAAUAUUAUAAAUAAUUUGUAAGAACCUUUUGAUAUUAAGUAAAAUGUCGAUAAGUCUAAAUGUGUUAUAGUGAAAACUUAAAAAAUCUUCUCCGAACUCACAAAGACAAGUAACGUCUUAAUUUAAACUGGAUAACAUAUUUAGUACACAUACCAAUUUUCAAUAUGAGCCACAUACAACAAUUAAUAACAAAUAUACAUAUAUAGAUACACACGUAAAAUCAAGUAGUGACAAGAGCUUAGAUAUUUGGCAUGAUAUAUCAUCUAGUUGACUUGUACCAAUAUUGUUCAAUCUUUGGCCCUGGGGUCAAAAAAUGGCCCCACCCGGGCGGUCAUGGGUUUCCUUAUAUAUGUAUAUGAUGAAAACUUAUAAAAUCUUCUUCUCCGAAACCAAAAGGCGAAGGCCUUAGAUAUUUGGUAUGAAGCAUUGUUUAUCGGACCACUAUUAAGAUUGUUCAAACUUUAGCCCUGGGGUCAAAAUUGGCCACGCCCCGUGUUCAUAGGCUAAGGUUUUCAAUAUUUUUAUAUAGUCUUAUAUAAUAAAACUUUAAAAAUCCUCUCCUCCAAAAUAUAAGACCUAGAGCUUUCAUAUUUGGUAUAUAGUGUUUCCUAGUGGACCUACACCAAAGGUAUUCAAAUUAUUGUCCCGGGGUCAAAUUGACCUUGCUCAGGGGUCAUUUGUUUUUACAUUGUCUUGUCACUUAAACAUCUUUUCCUCUGAAAGUAAAGGUCAGAAUGACUCCAUACUUGAUAUGUAGCAUCCUUACAUGGUCCUCUCUCAACUUUGUUCAAAUGGUUUUGUUUGGCCCCUUUUAGGGGUCACCAGAGCAAAAAAUAGAAAAACCUUUAAACAACUUGAUCUUAUUAACUGCUUGAUGGAUCUUCAAGUCUGAAGCAUCCUAGCAUGGGCCUCUGUCAGGUCUUUUCAAAUAAUUUUGUUUGGCCCCUUUUAAGGGCCACCAGAGCUAAAAUUAGUAAAAAAAACUUAACAUUUUCUUCGCAUUAACCCCUUGAUAGAUCUUCAGCAAAUUUGGUUUGAAGUGUCCUUGCAUGGACCUCUCUUAAAUUUGUUCACAUAAUUUUGUUUGGCCCGGUUGCCAUGGCAACCUAAAGGAAAAUGUCAACAAUUGGUUACAAUCAUCUUCUUCUCCAAAACCGCUUUGACAAUUUUGAUGAAACUUCAUAGGAAUGAUCCUUGGUUGGUGCUUUUUCAAAAUUGUUCAAAAAAAAUAAUUCCAUGCAAAACUCUGGUUGCCAUGGCAACCUGAAGGAAAAUAUAGGCUGUCGUGUCCGCGCUGUGACUUACUCUUAUAUGGACAGAUUUUAAAAUGACUUGCCAUAUGUUUUCGACAUACCAAGACAACGUGUCAUGUGCAAGACCCAUGUCCCUACCUCUAAGGUGAAAGAUACACUAAGUGUUUAUUCACAAUGGAAUGCUGAAUAUGAGGACAUAAAGAGUGUUGGCUGUCAUUUAGUAUGAUUGGGUUUUUUUCUAUGCUCAGAGGCAAUUUAAUAUAACUUGCAAUAUGUAUUUGACACAUAAAGGCAAGAUCAACUUUUUAUGUACUUGUUCAUAGAUCAAUGUCACAUUGGGGGGCAUUUGUCACAUACUUUGACAGCUCUUGUUCAAUAUUUUUUGAGAAACAAGCUAUAUUAAUAACAAAGGUUAAACUCUUUUACUCAGGUGAGCGAUUUAGGGCCAUCAUGGCCCUCUUGUUAUGUAUUAUUUAUUUAUCAUAUGCAUUGACAAUUGAUUAUAAUUUCAUUAUAUAUUAUUUAUUCUUUUAUUGUAUGUAUUCUAGAUCAUUAAAAUAAUUAUAAGUAAAUAUGCAUUCAGAUUUCUGUAUUUAGUCUUAAAUAAUAAAUGUUGAUAUUG